rnacentral:rRNA from 1 species
CCUACGGGUGACAGCAGUGGGGAAUAUUGGGCAAUGGGCGCAAGCCUGACCCAGCAACGCCGCGUGAAGGAAGAAGGCUUUCGGGUUGUAAACUUCUUUUGACAGGGAAGAGUAGACGACGGUACCUGUCGAAUAAGCCACGGCUAACUACGUGCCAGCAGCCGCGGUAAUACGUAGGUGGCAAGCGUUGUCCGGAUUUACUGGGUGUAAAGGGCGUGUAGCCGGGCUGACAAGUCAGAUGUGAAAUCCGGGGGCUCAACCCCCGAACUGCAGUUGAAACUGUUGGUCUUGAGUAUCGGAGAGGGAGGGGGAAUUGCGAGGGUAGCGGUGAAAUGGGUAGAUAUUAGGAGGGACACCAGUGGCGAAGGCGGCCUGGUGGACGACAACUGGCGGUGGGGGGCGAAAGCGUGGGGAGCAAACAGGAUUAGAUACCCCGGGUAGUC